GCCUGGGUGGUGAAAUUGGUAGACACACGGGACUUAAAAUCCCGCGGCUUUAACGGCCGUGCCGGUUCGAUUCCGGCCCCAGGCACCA
rnacentral:tRNA from 2 species